rnacentral:rRNA from 1 species
GAUGAACGCUGGCGGCGUGCCUAAUACAUGCAAGUCGAGCGAACAGACGAGGAGCUUGCUCCUCUGACGUUAGCGGCGGACGGGUGAGUAACACGUGGAUAACCUCCCUAUAAGACUGGGAUAACUUCGGGAAACCGGAGCUAAUACCGGAUAACAUGUUGAACCGCAUGGUUCAACAGUGAAAGACGGUCUUGCUGUCACUUAUAGCUGGAUCCGCGCCGCAUUAGCUAGUUGGUAAGGUAACGGCUUACCAAGGCAACGAUGCGUAGCCGACCUGAGAGGGUGAUCGGCCACACUGGAACUGAGACACGGUCCAGACUCCUACGGGAGGCAGCAGUAGGGAAUCUUCCGCAAUGGGCGAAAGCCUGACGGAGCAACGCCGCGUGAGUGAAGAAGGUCUUCGGAUCGUAAAACUCUGUUAUUAGGGAAGAACAAAUGUGUAAGUAACUAUGCACGUCUUGACGGUACCUAAUCAGAAAGCCACGGCUAACUACGUG